rnacentral:rRNA from 1 species
UACGGAGUGAGCUAGCGUUGUUCGGAAUUACUGGGCGUAAAGCGCGCGUAGGCGGCUUUGUAAGUUAGAGGUGAAAGCCCGGGGCUCAACCCCGGAACUGCCUUUAAAACUGCAUCGCUUGAAUCCGGGAGAGGUGAGUGGAAUUCCGAGUGUAGAGGUGAAAUUCGUAGAUAUUCGGAAGAACACCAGUGGCGAAGGCGGCUCACUGGACCGGUAUUGACGCUGAGGUGCGAAAGCUAGGGGAGCGAACAGG